UACGGGGGGGCGGAAGCGUUGUUCGGUAAUUACUGGGCGUAAAGGGCGCGUAGGCGGCCAACUAAGUCAGACGUGAAAUCCCUCGGCUUAACCCGGGGAACUGCGUCUGAUACUGGAUGGCUUGAGGUUGGGAGAGGGAUGCGGAAUUCCAGGUGUAGCGGUGGAAAUGCGUAGAUAUCUGGAGGAACACCGGUGGCGAAGGCGGCAUCCUGGACCAAUUCUGACGCUGAGGAGCGAAAGCCAGGGGAGGCAAACGGG
rnacentral:rRNA from 1 species